GAUGAACGCUGGCGGCGUGCCUAAUACAUGCAAGUCGAGCGAACAGACGAGGAGCUUGCUCCUCUGACGUUAGCGGCGGACAGGUGAGUAACACGUGGAUAACCUACCUAUAAGACUGGGAUAACUUCGGGAAACCGGAGCUAAUACCGGAUAAUAUAUUGAACCGCAUGGUUCAAUAGUGAAAGACGGUUUUGCUGUCACUUAUAGAUGGAUCCGCGCCGCAUUAGCUAGUUGGUAAGGUAACGGCUUACCAAGGCAACGAUGCGUAGCCGACCUGAGAGGGUGAUCGGCCACACUGGAACUGAGACACGGUCCAGACUCCUACGGGAGGCAGCAGUAGGGAAUCUUCCGCAAUGGGCGAAAGCCUGACGGAGCAACGCCGCGUGAGUGAUGAAGGUCUUCGGAUCGUAAAACUUUGUUAUUAGGGAAGAACAAAUGUGUAAGUAACUAUGCACGUCUUGACGGUACCUAAUCAGAAAGCCACGGCUAACUACGUG
rnacentral:rRNA from 1 species